CUAAUUCCUCAGGAAAAAAAAAAAAAAGAAAAAGAGAAAGUUGCUGUCCUUGAACAUUUUUUCAUGGUAGUUACGGGCAACUUAUAAUAAAAUUAACAAAAAUUCUCUGAGUGAGCAUCUUGAGACCUAUUCUUCACAGUGUGUGCUGCUGUUCAAGAGACUACAGAGCUGGUGUUGCCCAUGCAGGCUGAGAUUGGUACCACAUUCAUCAUCUUGGGACUUUGUCAAAGAUGAGCUGUGCUUCGAGUGUUGAACUGGUAACCAGCUGUAGAAAGCCAGUCCCUGGUUUAACUGAGGGAACUCUAGACCGCAAACCUGCAGGAGAAAUGCCAUGCUGUGUGUUUGUGCUACAUUUUGUCAAGCAAUGGCUGUGUGCUCACAGAUGAGAGAGGGAAAGGAGGUGCAAUAGGCAGUCACGUGGAGGACAGCCUGAAAUCACAAUGAAAAUGAAAUCUGAUUUGUCAUUGCCUGCUCAUUUUGGAGGAGUAAUGGGAGCCAUCACCAUCGCUUGGGAUUUUUUAAGUGACCUUUGUGCUGUUCCAUGAUUUUACUGCUCCUGACCUCUCUCCUUGAGUUAUUUUUAUUGACAAGCUUUCAGACACCAUGAAAGAGUCCACUGGUACUCAGCAACAAAAUACUGUUCACAGCCAGCCAGAGCAAGAUUGAAGGCAUGAAAAACAAAGCAAAUGAAUACCCUGCUGCCUCUCUGCACACAUAGCUGCUUGUUCAGCCUUAAAAACAAGUAAAUAAAACUCAUGAUGUUUGGAUUCAGAGUUAUGGGACACCUCUGCUACAGCAGCUGAUGACUGCUGACGUGGCUGAUCCACACCAAAGUCCCACUUCCACAGCAGCAACUCUACCCAGGCCCCCACGGCUGGCAUGGAGCCCACCUGAGCGUGAGCUGCAGACAAAAGAUGCUCAAGACAUCCCUGCAUUGUUUUUAGACCUGCCUGAAAUGGACUCUGAAAGGAGUUUAUCUGAUCAGUAAAAGCAGCAAUGUAUACAAGAAAUAGCUCACAUCUUUGAGAUCCUUGGUUUCUUUGUACAAAGGGAUGCAGAGAAUUUAGGGGUGACCUUAUCUUCCUGUACCAUCAGCAUACAUACAGAGAUGUCAUCAAAGAUGUCUCAUCAUGAGAACAAGACACCAGAAAUAAGGUGAGCUGCUUAAAUUCAAGAAGGCUUCAAGUCUUCUGAAACUCCCACUACUGUAUUAUCCAGAGUGGAAUGCCUUCAUGUGAGAUACUCCAUUCAUUUCAUCCUAAACCUAAGAAAUUUGAGGAGCUGCAUUACCAGCAUGCCUUUUGAGAAUUUGAGAAUGUGUCAUUGCUAACCAUUUUGGACCAGCUGGUCACAGCAUUAUGAACUGUUGCUAGAAAAAUAUUAUGUUUUCAUAUUACAAGGGUGUAAUUUGCUGUGUCAUCGUUGCGUACUAAAAUCUAAAAGGCAGAAUGUGAUUCAGAGGGUGCAUGGAACACAAACCACCUCCUCAGAAGGCAAAAAUCUCUGCUGAGGAGCAGCAAUGCUCCCAAGUAUGACUGAUAAACAUGUGAGUCUUGUCGUGAGCUAAAUGGCAAAAUAUGGACCCUGCACCAAGGCUUUGCCCAGUACAGUGCAUAAUUCUCUGGUUUGUCUGCAAGCAGGCUGGUUUAUGGCAAUGAAAUCAUGGCAGUGGGAAGAAAGGAAAAGUCUUGCAAAAGUUCUGAGUUAUUCCCUCCAGAUGGCUUGGAAAGAAGGUCUGGUGUCAUCAUGAUAUUUGCCUAAUAACCCUGAAAUGAUCAGUUGAGGCGGAUGAGUGUACUCUCAAACAAGUAUGUGUGUGGAAAUGUGCUCCUCCCCAGCCCUUCCACCCAGACAGGUUGGUUAUGUGUGAAAAUUACAUUAUGAGCCAGAAACUCAAGCUCAGUGCUACCUUAUGGAGUAGACUGGGGGGAAAUUGUCUGAGUAAGAAGAAUAUUAUACUGCAAAAUGGAAGGGAAGAUGUUCUGAGCAUACUCUUCCUCCUCUCUGCUCCAGCCCCCAGUGAGAGCUGAGCACCAGUUCAGCUGUGAGGGGCAUGUCACUCGUACCGGCUUUGCUUUUAAACAUAAGGCACGGAGAUCUCUCUCUAAAUUCAGUGGCCUGUCAAAGUAAGAUACUGAUUAAGGUGAGUACAGACAGUAGAACUGAUCCACAAGAAAUUUUUCCCUACCAUCACCAAGGGACAUUUCAAGGGUUGCCCUUCCCUCUUUUUUCCCAGGGAGUGCAAGUUGAAAAUCAGGAUAAUUGCACAGCAAAAAUGCUUUCCAUCUCACUCCUUUAUUUACUUUUUUUUCAUUAUUUCCUUCCACUCCCAGGUGAAGGAAUGUAGGCUGUUUGAAGACCUGAUCUGCUCGGGUGGGGCAUUAACUUAAUUUGAAGCAUUGCUGAAUAUUUAGUCAUGUUCUGUAGGAGUAUUAGAAUCAGAAAAUUCUUGGAUUCCUAACAAACUCUGCACAUGUGCAUGAUCUCCAGAAAGAGAA